AUUGAACGCUGGCGGAAUGCUUUACACAUGCAAGUCGAGCGGCAGCGCGGGGCAACCUGGCGGCGAGCGGCGAACGGGUGAGUAAUGCAUCGGAACAUGUCCAUGUCGUGGGGGAUAGCCCGGCGAAAGCCGGAUUAAUACCGCAUACGCCCGAGAGGGGAAAGUGGGGGACCGCAAGGCCUCACGCGAUUGGGUUGGCCGAUGUCCGAUUAGCUAGUUGGCGGGGUAAGAGCCCACCAAGGCGAUGAUCGGUAGCUGGUCUGAGAGGAUGAUCAGCCACACUGGGACUGAGACACGGCCCAGACUCCUACGGGAGGCAGCAGUGGGGAAUUUUGGACAAUGGGGCAACCCUGAUCCAGCCAUUCCGCGUGAGUGAAGAAGGCCUGGUGUAA
rnacentral:rRNA from 1 species